UCGCCAGACUCCUACGGGAGGCAGCAGUGGGGAAUAUUGCACAAUGGGGGGAACCCUGAUGCAGCGACGCCGCGUGGGUGAAGGAGCACCUCGGUGCGUAAAGCCCUAUCGGCAGGGAAGAAACAGACGGUACCUGACUAAGAAGCCCCGGCUAACUACGUGCCAGCAGCCGCGGUAAUACGUAGGGGGCAAGCGUUAUCCGGAUUUACUGGGUGUAAAGGGAGCGUAGACGGAUAAGCAAGUCUGAUGUGAAAAUCCGGGGCCCAACCCCGGAAUUGCAUUGGAAACUGCAUAUCUAGAGUGUCGGAGAGGCAAGUGGAAUUCCUGGUGUAGCGGCGAAAUGCUUAGAUAUCAGGAGGAACACCAGUGGCGAAGGCGGCUUGCUGGACGAUGACUGACGUUGAGGCUCGAAAGCGUGGGGAGCAAACAGGAUUAGAUACCCGAGUA
rnacentral:rRNA from 1 species